rnacentral:lncRNA from 10 species
CUAGCUCACCUCACCCAUCGUGAAGCCUGGAUUUCCUUUUUAUCACCGGUUUUGAUGGAUUCGAUUAAGGUGUUCCUUGGUGAAGUUUUCUGCAUGUUUCUUGUUCUUAGGAUAAUCAUAUUUCUGUAAUAUUUGAAGUUUAUUGUUUCCAUGGAGCUUCUAAAUCUUUCAUCCAGUAUGUUUUAAAUAUCUUUGUCUCUCUUCUCCACUACCUGCCCUUCAGGGAUUCCAUUUAGCCCUUUACUAGGGUGUUUAAAGUUUUUAUGCUGAUGGUCUUUUUAUGUUUUCAAGUCAUUUGUUAAUGUGUGUUCCAUUUAUGUUAGUUUCAACUUCUAUUCCUUCUAGUUCAAUAAUCUUCUCUUCUGCAAUGUUUAAUCCAGUGCCUUCUUCCAUUUCACACUGUAAAUCAUAGUUUUUAUCUACAGAAUUUGAUAUUUAAAAAAUCUUCAACCUCUCCAUUUAAUUAAAAUACAAUUAUACUAAUUGCUGUAAUGUCCUUUUCUUCUAUUUCCAACUUGUGUGUCAAUUUCAACCAGAUUAUUAGAUUCUU